rnacentral:tRNA from 1 species
GGCUCCAUAGUAUAGUGGUUAGCAUGUCUGCUUUACACACAGAAGGUCCUGGGUUCGCACCCCAGGUGGAGCCA